CGCGGCGCUUGGCAGCCCCCAGCCGGGCGCGCGUGGGGCGGUCACGCGUGGGGCUGUGUCCCGCCCGCCCGCCCGCGGUGCAUGAACUCGUCCCCCCGCGCCUGGCCCAUUGUUCCGGGGGGACCCUCCCUCGGGCUCCCGCCCGCCCUGCCCCAUGACCAUGCUGCUGGACGGCGGCCCGCAGUUCCCCGCCCUGGGCGUCGGGGGCUUCGGGGCCCCUCGCCCCCACGAAGGGCCCGGCCGCGACCCCGCCGCCGCCGCCGCCGCCGGGAUGGGGCUGGGCCCCUUCGGGGACGCCUCGCACGCGGCGGCCUUUAAGCUCAGCCCGGCAGCCCACGAGCUCUCGUCCGGGCAGAGCUCGGCGUUCACCCCGCAGGGCUCGGGCUAUGCCAACGCGCUGGGGCACCACCACCACCACCACCACCACGCCGGCCAGGUGCCCGCCUACGGGGGCGCGGCCGCCGCCUUCAACUCCACGCGGGACUUUCUCUUCCGCCAGCGGGGCUCCGGCCUGGGGGAGCCCGCCUCCGGCGGCGCCCAGCACGGCAUCUUCGGCGGCUCCCCCGGCAGCCUGCACGGGCCGCCGGGCAUCGCGGAGAGCCCGGGCUACCUGCUCUUCCCGGGGCUGCACGAGCAGAGCCCCAGCCACCCCUCCCCCGGCGGGCACGUGGAGAACGGGCAGAUGCACCUGGGGCUGCGGGGGGAUCUCUUCGGCCGGCCGGACCCUUACCGGGCCGUCUCCAGCCCCCGCACGGACCCGUACGCCGGCGCCCAGUUCCACAACUACAACCCCAUGAACAUGAAUAUGGGCAUGAACGUGGCGGCCCAUCACCACCACGGCCCGGGGGCUUUCUUCCGCUACAUGCGCCAGCCCAUCAAGCAAGAGCUGUCCUGCAAGUGGGUCGAGGAGAGCCAGAUCAACCGGCCCAAAAAGAGCUGCGACCGGACGUUCAGCACCAUGCACGAACUGGUCACCCAUGUGACGAUGGAGCAUGUCGGGGGGCCGGAGCAGAACAACCACAUCUGCUCCUGGGAGGAAUGUCCGAGGGAAGGCAAGUCCUUCAAGGCGAAAUACAAACUGGUGAACCACAUUCGGGUUCACACGGGGGAAAAGCCAUUCCCGUGCCCGUUCCCAGGCUGCGGGAAAAUCUUUGCCAGGUCCGAGAAUCUGAAGAUCCACAAAAGGACGCACACAGGUGAAAAACCUUUUAAGUGUGAAUUUGAAGGCUGUGAUAGACGUUUUGCGAACAGUAGUGACAGAAAGAAGCACAUGCAUGUACACACUUCAGACAAGCCUUAUAUCUGUAAAGUGUGUGACAAGUCUUACACCCACCCCAGCUCUCUUAGGAAACACAUGAAGGUUCAUGAAUCGCAAGGGUCAGAUUCCUCCCCAGCUGCCAGUUCAGGCUAUGAAUCGUCCACUCCGCCCGCUCUAAGUUCUGCAAACAGUAAAGACUCUACGAAAAGUCCUCCAGCAGCGGUUCAAAGUAACACAAGCCACAACCCCGGACUUCCACCCAAUUUUAACGAAUGGUACGUCUAAGGACAAACCAAGCAACCUAACUAUAGACUGGACCAAAUGAAUUCAAAGGAAAACUGAAAAUCAAUCACACGGAAAUGGAGUUUUCAGGCAAACAACCGAACAGGGCUACAUCCAGUUCAUUGCAAUUAUCCAGGAAAGGGGUUUUAAUUUUUUUUGCAAGAUCCAGACGCUGGACUAGCUAUGUCCUUUUCUCAGGAUUGGAUUUUUUUUGUUUGGUUUUGGCAUUUGCAGUAAUUUCUUUGAUUUUUUUUUCUCUUCCCUCUUCCAAUCGCGCCUCCCCUUUUCCCUUCAUUUGAGCACUGUUUUUUAUUUUUUCUAUUCUCUCUGUCUCGCUCGCUUUUUUUUUUUUUUUUUUGCUUUUUCUUCCUUCGGUGGGAUGCUGCCAUGAGGAUGAAAAUUCUCCUUCGCCUUAGUGGUGAUUGUUUAAACUCACAUUCUUAAACCGUGCCAAAGUCCUGUUAUGUCUUGAACCUCUGUCUCUCUCUCUCUCUCUCUCUCUCACAGCAUUAUACUUGUGAAUGUAUUCUCGUCUGAUGGGUUCGUCCAGUAUUUUUUCAAGAUGAGGCUGUGGUGUUAUUCUACCCAGAUUGUGACCGUUUAGUAAAACAGUUGCCUUUUUGUAAUAACUUUUUUUGUAAAUACAUAUCCAUGAUGCCAUAUUUAUCGUUUGUAAUUUAAUUAUUGAUACGAAGUGCCGGGAACUGAACAAUAUUUAUGGGGGGAAAAGUGUUUUCUAACAAAACAAAAACAAACAAAACAAAACAAACAAAAAUUACAAAACUCUGUACAGUUUUUGGUUAUAACUGCUUUAGCAUUAAAAGUUUAUUGUUUUUGAAAGAACACAAUCGAAUAGUUUUUGAACCACCGUUUUGCAUUUCCUUGUUGCUUUGUGAACUAUUCUUUCCACCCAGGCCUGGCAGAGGAACCGCAUAUCAAGGUGUUUGUAUCCCAGCCCCGUUCUUGAGAGGAAUUGUUUUCCCUAUCGCAGGCUAGCAAUCUGCAGUGUUUCCUUCAAGAGAGGAAUGAAGGACGUUGUUGUUUUUCCUUGUCCCCGCCCCCACAUCUCAAUGGUUUGUUUUCACCUCGAGCUUCAUAUGUAUGUUACUGCACUUUGCACGAGCGAAUCAAAUAUUACUGAUCUGACCUGAAUGGGACCAUGACGUGUCUCUGUCUUGCACUUCAAAGAACCAGAGCUGCAUUUAGGCCUCCCAGGGCUGCAUAUUUAACAUCCGAAGAGCAGACUUGAACUCCAAGGCAAUGGAUUUGAAACCCUGUACGACUAAAGUUAUCAACUUUACACUGAAGCAAGUAGCCCUGUGCCAUACUGCAAAAUAAAGAAAAAGAACAAG